GGGGCUGUGGCUCAGGGGUAGAACAUCUGCUUGGGAUGCAGAAGUUCCCAGGUUCAAUUCCUGGCAUUGCCA
rnacentral:tRNA from 1 species